CGAAUCGGUAGACGCUACGGACUUAAAAAUCCGUCGACUUUAAAAAUCGUGAGGGUUCAAGUCCCUUUAUCCCCA
rnacentral:tRNA from 1 species